AACUGUAUGCGGUGGAUCACAUGGCUCGUACAUCAAUGAAGGGUGCAGCCAACUGUGUGAAGUAAUGAGAAUCGCAGACAGCUUUGAACGUCGACAUCUUGAACGCAUAUUGUGGCCAUAGGCUUGCCAGUGGCCACGUCUGUCCGAGCGUCG
rnacentral:rRNA from 1 species